rnacentral:tRNA from 1 species
GGUGAUGUAGCUCAGUGGUAGAGUACUUGCUUAGAAGGUAUGAUUCCUUGGGUUUAAUCCCAGCACCCCCC